AGGACCGAUGAUGAUGACUGGUGGCGUAUGAGUCAUGGUUGAUGAAUGUCAUGUGUCUGAAAUGCUGAGGUCCAA